CAGAAACAAGGAACAGAAGGAGUUCUUGCUUGAGUAAGGCACUGGUCAUGCCUCAAUUAGAACCCAUCAACUCAUCCUUUGGACCACCCAAACCUGUCAGAAGAGUGUCUCCGUCUCCAUUUUUGACUUUCCAGAGAGGUCUGAAGCCACCUCCACACAGUGAGGUGGCAGACUUGUGGACAGGUCCUGAAGCCAUACCAAGAGCUGACCAGCCCCAGAAAACGAGGACAUGGCUGCAGGGAUAGAAAGCCAAACUGUGGGUCAAGAGCACUUCAGCCUGUCCAUCUGGGGGCAUGCUCAAAGGUCUAUGAUGGGGCCAAAAAGAAAGGUGCAGGCUAAGGACAGAAAGACAGCUUGGCCUGAACAGCCCCAUCCUGCAGCCCACCCCAGCCCUGAGCCUCUGGAACUCUCUAUCACUGCAUCCUGGGGCACCUGCCCCCAAAGCCCCCACCCCAGGAAGAGUAUCUAUGCUGCCAGAGGCUGCAGACGGUGCCAGCAGAAGGUGGUGAGGAAGCUUGGGGCCUUAGGUGGGUGGGACACAUCAUCACACACAGCCGCAGCAGCUGCGGAUCAACAGGCCAUCUGUGCCUCGAACACCUACAACAACGGCCAAGGCCUUGGCCACCCUGCCCAGCUCUGUGCACCACUAGUCGCCUUGGUGGAUCACAGCCACUACAUGCUCCACAGGAAGAAUCCCAAACCCAGUGAUCGGCUGCCCCAGCAUG
rnacentral:lncRNA from 1 species